rnacentral:rRNA from 1 species
AUACGGAGGGUGCGAGCGUUAAUCGGAAUUACUGGGCGUAAAGCGUGCGUAGGCGGUUUGCUAAGUCAGAUGUGAAAGCCCCGGGCUUAACCUGGGAACUGCAUUUGAUACUGGCAGUCUAGAGUAUGAUAGAGGGGGGUAGAAUUCCUGGUGUAGCGGUGAAAUGCGUAGAUAUCAGGAGGAAUACCAGUGGCGAAGGCGGCCCCCCGGAUCAAUACUGACGCUGAGGUACGAAAGCGUGGGGAGCGAACAGGAUUAGAAACCCUAGUAGUCC